GAUGAACGCUGGCGGCGUGCCUAAUACAUGCAAGUCGAGCGAACAGACGAGGAGCUUGCUCCUCUGACGUUAGCGGCGGACGGGUGAGUAACACGUGGAUAACCUACCUAUAAGACUGGGAUAACUUCGGGAAACCGGAGCUAAUACCGGAUAAUAUAUUGAACCGCAUGGUUCAAUAGUGAAAGACGGUUUUGCUGUCACUUAUAGAUGGAUCCGCGCCGCAUUAGCUAGUUGGUAAGGUAACGGCUUACCAAGGCGACGAUGCGUAGCCGACCUGAGAGGGUGAUCGGCCACACUGGAACUGAGACACGGUCCAGACUCCUACGGGAGGCAGCAGUAGGGAAGCUUCCGCAAUGGGCGAAAGCCUGACGGAGCAACGCCGCGUGAGUGAUGAAGGUCUUCGGAUUGUAAAACUCUGUUAUUAGGGAAGAACAAAUGUGUAAGUAACUAUGCACGUCUUGACGGUACCUAAUCAGAAAGCCACGGCUAACUACGUG
rnacentral:rRNA from 1 species